CCUGUGACUGCUAAGGGAGGAGCUACCCCAUAAGUGAUGCUGGCAUGAUUAGCUAGGAAACUCCAUUAACCACAUGGCAGCAAAAAGACUGUAAAAGACAUAAAAUUACACACUGUUACAUUCAGUACAUAAAACAUACACAUUCUACAUAUCCCCAGAUAGCUUAGAUCUGAGCGCACAUUAUUAUCGAAUGGCGCUCAGAUCACAUACAUACAGUUCAAUCG